GUCUUUUAUACAGUUUUUCCUACAAGGUUACCACCCAUGUGGACCUUGUGGAGCACAGGACACAAAGUCACAAAGCCAAUCAAAACAGUAUUGAACAGUUAGACACUUCCAGAUAAUGUACGCAAACCCUCCCUUCUGCUUAUGAUACAAUUAACAAAGACAAUGGACUAACUCAUUAACUCUAAGCAGAAAAAACAUACACUUUUACAAACCCCCAAAAGUACCUCAAAAUACAACAUAUCCCCCCGAUUUUCCUAGAAGUCUUAUUUUUGCCCCACCGUGCACAUGGUCCCAUGCUCAAAACAGUUCCAUACACUUGACGACAAAACACUGCUGGACAAUUUAAGAUGGCCUCCGCCACAUGUUGGAAUCUGUUCCAGCUAAAAGUCCAAGGGGCAUUGUGCCAAGUCCUAAUAUGCACAAUUAGUGUUUCUAAAGAGCAAUACAUCCCAGGGGCCAUAGUCACAGGGUAAGAGGCUGGCAAGCAGGCCUCUCCAAAAACCAGUAGCGAGGUUACUUUCACCACAGUGGGGAACAUACCACUUAAGUUAUAAGGACUGAACAAAACCUAGGUUUGAUCUCCUUUUGUGAGUAUCCCUUUUAUUACUUUUAUCAGAGAGCACUAUAUUUUAUCUUUUUUUAUAUUGCCCUCAUUGGUUUGAUGCUUCUGCACGUUUAAGUAAAGACUAGAGUCCUAUUCGCUCCUCUUGGGACAACAUCCAGAUACACUGUAUACUGCAUCAAGAUCU